rnacentral:tRNA from 1 species
UGCAUCAGCCGGGAAUCAAACCCGGGGCUCCCGCGUGGCAGGCGAGCAUUCUACCACUGAACAAAAGC